UACGGGGGGAGCAAGCGUUGUUCGGAUUUACUGGGCGUAAAGCGCGUGUAGGCGGCUUGGCAAGUCCGCUGUGAAAACUCGAGGCUCAACCUCGAGAUGUCGGUGGAAACUGCCUGGCUAGAGUCCGGAAGAGGAGUGUGGAAUUCCUGGUGUAGCGGUGAAAUGCGCAGAUAUCAGGAGGAACACCAGUGGCGAAGGCGACUACCUGGCCUGUUUCUUGACGCUGAGGCGCGAAAGCUAGGGGAGCAAACGGG
rnacentral:rRNA from 1 species